rnacentral:lncRNA from 1 species
AAGCCGGAGGGACGGGGUCCAACCGUUGUCGGCUGCGCGGAAACUGGGACUUCUCCCCAGGGUCGUGGAGGACGCGGCCGCCGACCCUCCCACCGCCUCACGCCUCGGAGACCGGGUCCAGAGCCCUCAGCCGCUUCCGAGCCCCGAGAGGGGAAUCAGAAGUGCGCGUGAUCAGAGCGGCACCCCCUUCCCAGGAACCGCAGCUGAACCAACGGUUUCCCCUGCACCAGCCUUUGCGACCAGGUGGGGCUUCAGGUGCGGCUUCGCCACGUGGAGGCAGGAAGACCCGGGCAGGGACUCGACCAGAAGACCAUGUAGCACCAAAAAGAUAGCUGCAAAGCGGAAUAAAGUUGGGGAAAACAAUCUGCUGGCCGGAAGAGAGUAAGAUGCAGGAGGAUGAUUGCCGGUUCUCCGCAGCACGAGUCAGGGAGGCCAUGAGAUGGAAGAGCCACCCCACAAUGGGAAGAACCUGGAGACAAGGUUCUCCUUGUCUAUGCCCAAGAGAAGCCACCCUUCAGGAGAGAGUUUCUGAGUUUCAUGAACUUGGGGAACAUUCUAAACCUAUUCAAAAUAUGCUUACUCACAGAGAGGUCUCACAAGUAGGCACGUCGUCCAUAAAUGAGACUCGCAUGUUGAAUAUUUACACAGAAUUCAGUUUUUGUUUAGAUGACUAUCAGAAUAAAAUAUCUGUGUAUGAAAAGCCUUAU